GACGAACCGUACGAACGUUAUUCGGAAUCACUGGGCUUAAAGGGUGCGUAGGCGGCGCGACAAGUUGGGUGUGAAAUCCCUCGGCUCAACCGAGGAACUGCGCCCAAAACUGUCGUGCUCGAGGGAGACAGAGGUGAGCGGAACUUAGGGUGGAGCGGUGAAAUGCGUUGAUAUCCUAAGGAACACCGGUGGCGAAGGCGGCGACCUGGUCCUUUACUGACGCUGAGGCGCGAAAGCGUGGGGAGCAAACAGG
rnacentral:rRNA from 1 species